rnacentral:ncRNA from 1 species
UUCUUCGGGGCAGGGUGAAAUUCCCUACCGGCAGUUAUAGUCUGCGAGCGUAAGCAUGAUUUGGUGAAAUUCCAAAACCGACAGUAAAGUCUGGAUGAGAGAAGAU